rnacentral:rRNA from 1 species
AUUUAAAAGUAAAAAUAUAGACUUGAAUAUUAAUAGUUAUCUUCUUUAAAAUCAAAGAAUUUGGCGGUAAUUUAGUCUUGUUAGAGGAACCUGUUUUAUAAACGAUAAAUCACGCAAUAUCUUACUUAUUUUUGUAAUAAAUUUCAGUUUGUAUACCUUCAUUAUUAAAUAAUUUUGAAAAAAAAUAAUUAUUGGAAUUGAUAAUUAAUUUAAGAAUAUUAGAUCAAGGUGCAGCUUAUAAAUAAGUAAAAAUGGGUUACAAUAAUAUAUAAUUAUACGGAUAAUAAAAAGAAUAAUUUAUUUAAAGGUGGAUUUAAUUGUAAAAGUGUUUUAAUAAGUCUCUUUGAUAUUAGCUCUAAGUUAUGUACAUAUCGCCCGUCACUUUCAUUUAAAAUGAAAUAAGUCGUAACA